GUCUCAUCUCUUUCCUGCUCAAUAACAGCUGGCUUCGGUCUAGCCGCCAGGCGAGGAAUAAAAGAGAGAGAGGGAGAGCGAGAUGGAGAGAGAGGGCACAGCUGAGCAGCGCGCUCCUGACGCAGUAAGAGACGGAUAGCGGACAGAACAGAACAGAACAGAGAAGAGAAUAGAGAGAAUAGAGGGAGAGAGAGCUGCAUGCGCAAGACAGCAGUCGGUAGAACAGUGGCGCCGCUGUCUUGUCCGUUUUGUAUAUCGUGGCUGACACUACAGGCUUGAACGUGAUGCUGCCGCCACUGUCAGUCGAAAUCAGCGACUGUUGCUGCUCUCCUCCUUGAAGUAGAGGGGAGGGUAGAGAUAGAGAGAGAGGCAUAGAUAGGAGAGGGGACGGAUAUAGAGGAGAGGGGAGAUAGAGGAGAGGGGCACAGAACGGGAAGAGAGCAGAGUAGUACAGAAAAGAGCAAGAUUUUGGGUCGAAUCGGAGAUGAAUCGCUAACCAAACCUUCAGCUUUGGCUCUCCCAACUGUCUCGAUGUUUUCAGACUAAGAAAAUCUGGAAGAGAAGGAAAAAAAGCAUGACCUCAAG
ensembl:lncRNA